UCUCGACUAGUAUAUCGGUUUAGUACACGCGCCUGUCACUACGCAUUCGUAAUCGGUACGCGCGAAAGCUGGGUUCGACUCCCAGGUCGAGAG